rnacentral:lncRNA from 1 species
AGGCUCGAUCUGAAAAAAGACAAUUCAUCCCCGAGGAAAAGAUGCAAGGAGUACAGUAUUUGAGUGAAUUUUCAUGAAAACCAGUGCACUCUAAAGCAACACUAAAAAAAAGAAAAUCUUGGCUAAGUAUUCAUUAUAUGGAAAAGAGCUCUAAGGGAACCAAACAGAGACCAAAAAAAAAGGAAAAUUUGAAGGAUUAUCCCUUUGUAAAAGUUGGGCAGAAGGGGCAACCUUCCUUUUGUGGAACCGUGUAAUUAACACACAACAUUCACCUCACAUCAUUAAUGCCUUGUGCUAGCUGCCACUUAGCCAGAGGGUCAUGCCAAGUGAGUGCCUCCAUAGAAAGAACACUCAGUGAUUGUACGGCAUACAAGGAUUAUUCAAUUUGAUAGUUAAAAAAAAAUUCUCUCCACAAUGAAAAAGAAACCGCUACCCUGAAUGGAUAAGCUCGGGACUGCGAUAUGGUGAUUUUAAUUCUUGAUGAUAUGGAAAGAGGAUUUGUUCACAGCAACGAUUUAUGCUUGUCCUGCCCCUCCCCCCAUACUAUAUGCUGACUCAUCAUUAGAAUACCUGGUUGCAAGUCAGAGUUGUACUAGGUGGUUUUUGUGUGACUUUUACCAGGUUGCUCCUCUUCUGUUGUAGUUUAUUUAUAUCUGAAGAGAGGGAAUUCAGAUUGCACAGAAGUUUUAAAAGAAAUACCACUAAUGUCUGAUAGACAUGGUUCCACUCACUCUUUCCAUGCCCAUGGCAGAAACUAAUGUUCAAAUACGGCAUUUUAUACUGACUCCAGACGAGGUUUCCCAGAAUCUUUCAUGCUUCUACAGCCUCUAUCAAGGUUGGAGUGUGAAAGACAAAUUGACCCCUUGGUAGGUCUCCUUUAUAGGUAAAGAUUCAUAUCACAUCCACAAUUAGGAAAACAAAGAGGAACAAACACACAAAAACCCAGCAAUGAAAAUUUCCAUGCUGAGACAAAGCAAAUGAAGAGUCAUUGUUUUUAAUUUCAGUCACAAAAUAAAUGAAAAUAUAUGUUCUCCUCAGUUACUGACUUUCUCACAAAAGCAUCUUUAUCCCUCAUGUUUAUAAUGCUACUACUGGAGACUAUGUCCGGAUCUUCUUGGGGGUGAUAAUUCUGUGUGUGAACAACACUUUUUUUUCCCCUGCCAUGUACAGACUAACUGUAAAUUUGAUAAUCUGGUAAUUUCACAGAUUAAAAGUUUUUAAUUUAAUGAGCCAUUUUUUUUAAAACUGCCUCCCUUAUAAACCAUCUUUGUGAGUAAAUGACUUUUCUUACCUAAAUGUUUUUGCCUCUGUAUCUUCCUUCUAUUGGAGUUAAAACAUGAAAUGAUAUCUGGCUGUUAUAUUUGGACAAGAAUGAUCUGGAAGAUCAUUUUCUAUUCAAAAAAUCUAAGAUCAAUGCCCCUUAUCUGGUGAGGAAAUAGGAUGAUCCAGGUUUCCCUCCCCUGUCUUCCAGCUCAUCCAUCUCACUGCUAAUAGGCACUGGGUCCAAGAGAAACAAAGUUUUACUGAUAGAAUUUUAAAAAUUUGGGUUUCAUAAAUUAUAGUUUUAUUGAAUCAAUAUUUAUAAUGGAAACCUGAGCUUCAUAGCAACACAGUCACAGCUGUAGCUAAUAGCUAAAGCAUUUUGGAAAAAUACACUCUAUAUUCAGAAGUGAUAUACUCUAAUAUAUUCAUAAAAACUAAAGCAAAUUAUAUGGUAGUUUUUUAAAACUUCCUUUUAUUAUUUAAACAAAUGCUAGGCAAGAUUAUCUUUUGCAACACAAUGUAACAUUGCUUCUCUUCACGAUGCUAGCUCAAAUUAAAUAUUAUAUUCAUGGAAUCUUAUUUGAAUCAUUAAUUGCAUGUUCACAUGAAAAAUCCUUUAUGAAUGCAUGACAAUUUCUUUGUUGAAUAUGGGAGUAAAAUAUUUACACUUUUGUUUAUUUUGAAUGUUUAAAAAGGAGGAUUCCUAGGGCUUAAGAUACAAAUUUGUCUUAAGGAUUUUAACCUGGCAAAGCCAAUCUGAAGAGGAAGAGCUGGAGAAACCUAUUUUAAAUUGUAAAUGAAAAACUCAUGCAUGCAAGGUAUGGAUUAUUUAAUUCUUUCACGUAUUCUGAGAAGUGAGGAUGCCAAACAAGAAUGGCUGGAGUUUAAUGGAGUGUCUUAUAUGAAAUCUAGAAAAUAUGCAAUGGGGUCACUUCUAGAUGAGCAAAACCAAUAGUAUUGUGUUGCCUGUGCCUUUUGUCCUUAAUGUGAGUUGAGAGUGGGGCAGCCCUAACAGAAACCAUUCUUCCAAUUUGCUAUAGAAGCAAAAUAGUUUGGACAGCAAGGGUUGGGGAUCAUCAGGGUCUUACAGUUAUCAUCCAUUGUUGAACCUGAAACAAGAAAGCUCAUGGACCUCUCUAAUGACGAUAUGGAGAAUGAUUUCUGGCAUGGGUCAAAAAGUGGGGGAAUAUCUGAUGGAAAGAGAAAUCAUUACACUAAGUCAGAGUUAGAAUUCAACCUUGGGAUGGAAGGGAAGACAAUUUCCCAUGGAAUCUGGCUGAGGCAAUGGGUACUCAAUGAUAUCCAAGAUUUUUUUUCAAAAUAAAGUUCCUGACUUUCUCCCUACAGGUCAUCUCAUACCACAAUGAUCCAGGAUUCUGGCUUCUUUUGGGAAACUUCCCAGGUAGUUUAACAGAAUGUAGGCUGAAUGUGAAGUGAGCAAAGCAGAGGUACAUUCUGUCAACAUGUCAUCUAGCAAACAGAAAGUGAGACAGCUUUUGAUAUAAAAUUGUGGGAAUUUCUAGAGAAGCAAACUCUAGCCUGAGACUCUGGGAAUGAUUUUCUGAAUAUUACAGAACUGACCCAUUAAAGUACCAGCUAUCUCCAAAAUCACUGUGGAAAUACUAUAACAGGACUACAGUAACGAUUUGAUUACCAGCCCGAAGAUGAAGCUAGUACACAAGAAAUGUUCCUACCCCACUCUUCUCUCUCCAAGAAUCACAAGGGAAUGAAGACAAAACCGUGAAAUUAAGUAAAUCCUAAAACCUACCUGAACCGUGGAUUUCCAGCGUUCAUUAUAGCAUUUAGAAGACGGAGUUUCCUAUAAAAUUAUUAUCAUCUAGGAGGCGGAGCAAGAUGGUCGAGGAGUAAGAGGUCACGCACAUCUUCUCUCACAAACACAUCAAAAAAACACAUCUACAUGUAAAACUACUCACACAGAACAUCAAUUGAAUGCUGGCAGAAGAACUUAAACCUCCAAAAAGGGCAAGAAACUCUUGACAAAACUGGGUAGAACAAAAGAAAAAAAGAGAAAAGGAAUCAGGAUGGGACUAGCAUUCCUGAGAGGGAGCUGUGAAGGAGAAAAGGAACUCAUCUCCUGGGAAGCCACCUAACUGACAAAAGAUCGGCUGAGUCAGUGGGACCUCAACGUCACAAGGAAAAAAUAAAGCAGCUGAACUGAGAACAGCAAAGCAGAGUGAGAGCCACACAGAUAAUCUAAACCACAGGCUUGGACACCAGAGCCUGAGAUGCUUGGGUGGGGACUGGGCACUGAGACUCAGGCUCCAGAGGUCAGUCCCAGGGAGAGAACUGGGGAUGGCAUGAGGAGUUAAGGAGCAGUUCACCAUGGGCUAAGGAGGGGAACACCACAGCAGAGGGAACCCAGGAGAAGGUCCAGACCUGCAGGAGAGGCAAGACACCACAGUUGGAGAGGGGAGAGGAGGAGGGGCAGGCCACCAUAGGACACUCCCUGAGCUGGAACUUGCACAUGCCUGUGGGCUUAUAGGGCAGGGCAGCUUUGUGGAGGAUAUGGGCCUGAGAGAAGCCUCUCGCUCGUUUAGGGCAGAUUAGGCACUACUUGUGCAGGCUACCAGCGACCAUGAACCUAUUGCAUGGGCUAAGGGCAUAAUGGGGCUAAGUGCAAUGUGGUGCCUCUUGCACAAUCUACAGGUGGCAGGGACAGACUGCAGCGGUCAUCUCAGAGGCCAGAGAGAGGCAUGGCUUGCCACCACUGGGGGCCUGUGAGUGGGCUCCACCAGCGACACCAGUCACCUCAGGGGUUGGCAAAAAAGAAAAAAAAGAGGGCACUGCAACCAAGCACCAUACACAGUUUUUUGCUAUCACUCCCCUGGGAACACACCCAUCCUGCAGCUGCCAUGGCCAAAUGCUCUGGGCAGUGGCCAGACACUUGGUGACUGUCACUUCCCAAGACCCUACAACUAGGAGCAACUGGUGCAGCACCUCCUACAUGGGCUAAAUGGAACAGGGUGCUUCUUACAGGGUCUGCAGGCAGCAGGGGUAAAGCUUGAUUCCAGGGGUAGACGUGGCCCACUCCCAUUGGAGAUACCUGAACAAAAAUCACUUGCAGCCCCAUUUACCUAAAGGGCACCACAAAGGAGGGCAUUGUGACUGAACACCACCCCUCUGUGCUCUCACAUACCCAGGAACACACCUACCCUACUGCUACCACCACUGCCAGAUGUUCCGGGCAGUACCCACACAACCUGAUCUCUCUCACUUCCCAGGAUCCUGCAACUAGGAGCACCCUGUACAGCACCUCAUAUGUUGGCUAAGUGAGAUGGGUGGCUUCAUGCGUGGUCUACAGGUGGUGGGCGCAAUCCACCGCAGUUAUCACUGACUCUAAAGAUGGUCAUGGCCUUUCUCCCAAGAGGGGUCCCUGAACAGGCACCACCUGUGGUUCCAAUCUCCUCAGAGGAGGGCACUGCAAUCAAACACAAGCAAUUAUUGCUCUCCCUCCCCUGGGAACUCACUCACCUGGCUGUUGCUACGGCCAAAUGCUCUGGUGACCUUGAAGAUCUGCCUAGAGCUUAUGACCACUUCCCAGGGCCCUGCAGCUAGGAGUAGCCUGUGCCACCUUCCUGCAGGUGCUAGCUGCCGCUGAGAACCCAAGAACCAGGCACUGACUGCUGGCCCUACCCACUGGCUCCUUCUCCCUGAAAAAUAAAAGCCUGCUCACACCAAAGAAAGAAACAGCAAAUAUUCAAAUUCCCACACCAAAAAUAAAUAGGAAACCCCCCCAAAAUGCAAAAGGUAUUCUUGCAUAGAAGUAGCUUUAUAAGACUGCAGUUUGGCUUCCCUGACUCACAAAGAAAAACAUAAGCAAGAUGAAGAAGCACAGAAACCAUUCCCUGUUAAAGGGACAGGAGAAUUCACCUAAAGCAGACAACAAUGAAACAGACCUCUGCAGUCUGACAGACAUUGAGUUCAAAAGGGAGGUAUUGACAAUACUGAAGGAAUUAAGAGAGGAUAUGAACAGUAAUGCAGAUUCCUUUAGAAAGGAACUUGAAAAUAUAAGGAGGAGCCAAGAAAAGCUAGAAAAUUCAUUUGCAGAGAUACAAACUGAGCUAAAGGCAAUAAAGAGCAGAAGGAAUAAUGCAGAGGAAUGAAAUAGUGAUGUGGAAGAUAAAAUAAUGGAAAUCACCCAAUCAGGACAGCAGACAGAAAACCAAAUGAAAAAACAUGAAAGCAAGAUAAAACACCUAUGGGAUAAUACAAAGUGUGCCAACCUAUGCAUAAUGGGAAUUCCAGAAG